rnacentral:ncRNA from 2 species
CAGCCGCGUAAUUCCAGCUCCAAUAGCGUAUAUUAAAGUUGUUGCAGUUAAAAAGCUCGUAGUUGAAUUUCGAGACCGGUUUACUGGUCGUGCUUUUGUACGUACUGGUAUUAUUGGUUUCUCCUUUCUGACGAAUCAUAAUGCCAUUAAUUUGGUGUUUUGGGGAAUCAGGACUGUUACUUUGAAAAAAUUAGAGUGUUUAAAGCAGGCUCACGCUUGAAUACAUUAGCAUGGAAUAACGAAAUAGGACGUUUGAUUUUAUUUUGUUGGUUUCUAGGAUCGACGUAAUGAUUAAUAGGGAUAGUUGGGGGCAUUAGUAUUCAAUUGUCAGAGGUGAAAUUCUUGGAUUUAUUGAAGACUAACUACUGCGAAAGCAUUUGCCAAGGAUGUUUUCAUUAAUCAAGAACGAAAGUUAGGGGAUCGAAGACGAUCAGAUACCGUCGUAGUCUUAACCAUAAACUAUGCCGACUAGGGAUCGGAUGAUGUUAAUUUUUUAAUGACUCAUUCGGCGCCUUACG